AUACAUUCAACUGAGAGCUUUUCUAUUUGCUCUUCAAUUACACUUCUUGCUUUUCUCACCACCUCUCUCUAUGCUAUCCUCUGUUGUUUUAUACUCAAGGAAGAUGAUGAAAACAAAUCAACCGACUCAACACCGGUUUAACAACUUCGGUUUUACAUCUAACAGACUAACCGCUCUAAUGAAUUAGAACACGUGUAUUUACUUUUGUUUCAAGUCUUCAAGCUCUGCAAACACGUGUGAAGUCUUCAAGCUCUGCAAACACGUGUGAAGUCUUCAAGCUCUGCAAACACGUGUGAUGAGCAAACUCUCUCUUCAAGUCAGUCUUGAAUUUACUAUCUUCAAACGUUUCUUCGUUUCUUAUGCAUUGCCACAGAUGCGAUGCAUUGCCACAGACUGCAGUCUUCAAGUCAGCUUCUUUAACACCCUUAAACCAUCCCACUAGCCAUAUCAAGUUGUAUGUGAAUCAAGAGACAGCAAGCAAGAGAGAGAGAGUGAGGCGAGAGGUGUGCUGUACCGAUAAGAAACGGUAGAGCAGCUACACUACACAGAAUCUGAAGAACCGGUUACAUUUUGCACCAGCCGAACAACACAAGGGUGAUUCUACUUUAUCUAGACAAGACGGCAAGAAUUCAUGGAUGAAGCUAGAAAUGCAGGUCAAUUUAAAAAUAAAAAAAACAAAUUUUAUCACAGAAUGCAGGGCUACAAAAGCAGACCCGGCCCCCAAGCUCACACGGGCUACAACGCCAAGAGCACUCCGCUUGACUCCAUUCCAUCAAUGCAUCAUCCGAAAUUCCACUUUUUUCAGCGUUCAACAGCCUCAUUUAUCAGAGCAAAGCAUAACCCAGAAUUCCAAAACACCCACGACGCCGAUCCAAAUUACAUAAACAACAAACUCAAUUAACCGAAAAAACCCGAAAGAUAACACGAGCCGAACGGGUUUUCCUCAACGGAGCCUGCCGACGUGGCGACCGACUCGGGACCGGAACCCGCAUUGGAAGCACUGCGUAUGCCGCGACCGAAGCCGCCUCGGCGUCCGGGGAAGAGGAUUGGCCGGGAAGCGGCGGCGGCUCAACCGACGCGGUUGGAGCGACGGAGGCAAGACGCAGAGAAGGAUAACCGAGCGGAGGAGGCUCCUCUGGAGAGGGAGGACGGCUUGGGGAAGAGAGCGAAAUCGAGAGGUGCGAAGCCGUGAGAGCUCAUCUCUCUCCCUCCACCAUGAAAAUGCAGCAGCAGCAGCAGCAGCAGCUCUCUCUCUCUAGGAAUCCUGCCGAGCUCUUCUCGCGAGAGAGAAACGACGACGGUGCUGGCG
rnacentral:lncRNA from 1 species